UACGGGAGGCAGCAGUGGGGAAUAUUGCACAAUGGGCGAAAGCCUGAUGCAGCUAUGCCGCGUGUAUGAAGAAGGCCUUAGGGUUGUAAAGUACUUUCAUCGGGGAGGAAAAACAAAACUAAUAAUUUUAUUUCUUGACGUUACCCGAAAAAGAAGCACCGGCUAACUCCGUGCCAGCAGCCGCGGUAAUACGGAGGGUGCUAGCGUUAAUCAGAAUUACUGGGCGUAAAGAGCACGUAGGUGGUUUUUUUAAGUCAGAUGUGAAAUCCCUGGGCUUAACCUGGAACUGCAUUUUGAAACUGAAAUACUAGAGUAUCGUAGAGGGAGGUAGAAUUCUAGGUGUAGCGGUGAAAUGCGUAGAUAUCUGGAGGAAUACCUGUGGCGAAAGCGGCCUCCUAAACGAAUACUGACACUGAGGGUGCGAAAGCGUGGGGAGCAAACAGGGAUUAGAUACCCGU
rnacentral:rRNA from 1 species